AUGUUGCUAAGCGCAAUGAAAACAUCGGAAUGACAGUGUGCUAGAUAGAAAGGCAUGAAUAUCAUAUGAAAGCAAAAUCGAACAGAUCAAAAUUAUAAAAGACAGUUAAAUCAUCAACAUGGCGAGUUAUUUAAGGGAUGCGGAUUCACGUGAAGGACUUCCAACGAUUCGAAGAACGGGUUUACUCGACUCGACCAGCUCUCCACACAGGAUAACCACAGUGGAAACCGAUGUCUUACACCGGUAUUCCUCUCCCAUCGCCACUACCACAUACACUACUGAUCCGAUCAUGAAUCCUCGGCCACCUUCUCCAUCACAAAGGAGGGCAGUGUCAGAUCUUACAGAUCAGGUGAAAACUUUCAAAGAAGAAUUGAGGAAAAAAGAUGCUCUGAUCCAGCAGCUUGUUAGCAUGGAGUCAGUUCCUAAAGUGACAGUACGGUCAGGAGCAGAUGCCUACAGACAUGAUGCUAUAUUUAUGGGUGACAGACAUGCAGUAGACACUGCUCGAACUGAAGCUGCCAGUCUUCAAGUCAAAAAUGAAAAAUUACAAAUCAAUAUUUGCGAGUUAAAGACCGAGCUAGAGGCCAAAGACAUAAAGAUAAAGGAGUUAAUGACACUGUAUGACACGAGUAAGGAUAAUGAACAUCGACUCACCUCUCUACUCGAGUCCCAUCGCCAACAAAUCAUGGAGCUGGAGGGCAAAGCAGGCAGUUAUGAAACUGCUGUUGGACGCAGUGAAUUCACUGUUUCUGCUCUUCAGCAGCAGAUACGCCAAGGACAAGAAAAGAUUUUAGAGUUAGAGUCCCGUCUGAGAACUCACCUUGAUGACCGUGAAUCUGCUGAAGUAAAAUGUCAGUCUGCAUCAAAACGCUACGAGGAGCUUCUUUCACAGAUCACAAGUCUUCUCCAAGUUGAGAGUAUCCAGAGUGGUUGCUCACUGUGUCCUGAGGACAUCCUUAGACGAUUAACAGAUCUUGUUCAAGAAAAUGCUUUACUCAAGGGUAAAAUUGUGACCAUGAGUGAGUGUCUGAACAGCACAGAGCUUGAGACCAAAGCAAGCAGGGAAACCAUUAUGAGGCUGGUGUCGGAGGUCGGCAAAGAACAAAAGAUUGCCACCAGAUACACUUCAGAAAUAGAAAGCCUCAGAAUGGAGCGAGAUGAAGCAUUGAAUUGUAGACAUGGUUACGAAAGAGAGAUAGAACUACUGAAGGAGCGACUAGAGGCUAGUCACAAGUCUGUAGAGGCUACACGAAGGGAGUUAGAACUACGAGAGACUAGAAUUAACUCCCUUGAUCGUGAGUACCGCAGCAAUCACCAUGACGUACAUGUGAUCACGACACAGCUAAUGACAAUGAAAGAAAAACUGGCUGCUAUCCUGAGCACAGCUGACUUCCGGUUGGAUAUGUCCGAGGAAGCAAUUGUAGCACGAAUUAAUACCCUCCUGCAGGAAAACUGUGAAUUCAUCAAUAGAAAUGAGUCCCUCCAGGAGCGUGUGAAGACCUUGACAGAACAGCUUGAGAGUCAGUACGAACUCCACAAGUCUGCCGCUGGAAGAGCACGCAAGGCUGAGGCAGACCUGUCAGAAUAUGAUUCACGGCUACGCAGUGCUGAGGGUGAGCUCACAGCUGGAGAUGUCCUCCGAGAUGGCUUGAGAGGAGAUAGGGAAAAGUACCUGAGAUGCCUACAACAGCUUGGUGAAGUCAUGAAAAUGGAACGCAUCUCAAAUGACUUAGGAUUAGACAUGACCAUCGAAGCCUUAAUGGCCCGAGCAGAUCAACUAGUCAAGAUGGAAAAAGAUGCACUGAUUGACAAGUCUACUCACAUUUACAACCUACAACGCAAAAUUAAGUCACUGAAGGAACAGUUGGAGAGCAAAGAUCUACACGUUGAUCUCCUCCGGAAAAAGAUGACCGGACUGGAAGAGAAGAUCAUAGGAAAAACAGAAAUUGAGAAGGAACGUGAUGGAGAGUCAUACAGAGUGCGAAAGCUGGAGAAGGUUGUUGAGAAGUACAAACUACAGAACCAGGAUCUUCGACAUGAACUCACCAACCUUAAGGCGAACUUACUUGGUUCCAGUGAAAUGAAGAUCCGUACACUGGAACAGAGGAAGGAGAUCGAGGAGCUCUGUGCACAGGUAGAAGAGCUUGAGAAACUGAGGUCACGACAGGCAAGCAAAAUAUCGAAACUGAAGAGUUCAGUUGAUCUUCAGGAAAACGAAUCCCAGGAAAAGAGGGUUAUUGCAGACAAUGCCGUACAGGCUCUGUCCAGUGAGUUAAGGACAACUAAGAAUGCUCUCAUCGCUAUACAGAACAGGGAGAAACAGUUGCUUGACUUCCGAGGUGUGGUAUCCCGAAUGCUUGGACUAGAUUUGAGUACCCUUGCUGUACCAGACUAUGAGAUCAUCUCGCGCUUGGAGAAGCUGAUACAGGCUCACCACAAUCACACCUUCACCACUAUGAGUAUGGAGGAGGCCCUAGCUGAUAUGGAGGAUGGUUUUAUGAGUGGCUUUGAGGAGUGCCACCCCAGAGUCACUACCCAACAGUCCACCAUUGGGCGGUCUAGGGAGCGGGCUCGUCGGAAGGCUGCACGCGCACGAGCACGAUCAGUUUCACCCCAACGACGGGAUCAUAGAGUGUACUGAAACUUGUCAUCUGACCCUCGGAUCCCUGUACAUGUUCAUCCAGUAGUCGUGGAAUAGUUCAAGUGCUGUCAGGGGUUUACAUAUCAUAAAUAGCCCAAGAUGUCUUCAACUGGGAAUACUAAAAUGUUAUCUUUCUCAAUAAAAACUAAAAGGAUAAUUAUUUAUUGCAGAGGUACAUCUUACUCUGAGAGCAUAUAUCUAUUUAUCAAAAUAUAACUUCAGUAGAAUCUCAGGUGGGCUAAAUGAUGACAGAUGAUUUAUUAGUCCUAUUUAAUGUUCUGUAGGGUAAAUGAUGUAUACUCCAAUAUUUCUUCAACAAAUGUAGUGCUGGCAGUUAUUAUAAAAUUCAAAGAAAGUAGUGUAACUUUGGAUUAUACAUUAAUGCAGAUACAUGUAUAAUAGCAAUAUAUCUACAUGUAGACAAACACUGCAUCAUUCCCUCUCUCUCCUUCAUUUCUCUAGGUGUUGGGAUAAAUCUAUCAUAGGCAGCAUAUACAGUGUUGUAGGAGUCAUUGACUUACAUGUCACCCGGUAAAUAGAGUAGUCUCCCUUGCUGGUGCUAACCUGCACCAGACAGGACGGGUACAUCAAAGAUUUCACAUCCCUUUGAAACUUGUCUUUCAGACUUAAGCUUUUUGUGUUAGGAAACCAGAGUAGAUUUUUAUAAACUAAACAGCAUGCUUCAUAUUUUCAAUAUUUGUUAAUUUUUAAUUCAUGUAUACUUGUAUAUGUUGAGAUGUAAUGAAUGCUAAUACCAGAGAAAGUAAGGGACUUUGUGAUGUUAGGUGUUUUAUGAUGUAGCAGCACGGUGAAAUCUCACCAUCGAAUACUUGUAUAAAAAAGUAUUUCUGGAAAAAUCUAGAAACACAAGAUUUCUCGGACUUUCCUCACUGUCCUCAAGAAUGUGAUAAUAGUACAAUUGUUUACAUUUUUUGUAGUUUAGUUUUUAAUGAUACUGAUAUAUAUAUGUAUGAAUUAAGUUCGAACCAUGUCUCAUAAGGAAGGCUUUAACUUAAAAAAUAAAUUCAUCAUAUGGCUGUGAAGGGGAAUUAUUGUAACAUUAGUGUAGGCAAUACUUUCUCUUAGAUUCCUUUGAUGUUGUUAAUUAUUUUCCAUGUCAUUGAAUCAUUGUAGUUGUAGCUCUAGUCUAUUCCAGGGGAUGCACCGUUAGGCAUUUUGAUAUACCUAGCUUUUUAAUGUAUAUGUAUUUAUAAAAUAAUGGGUGAUUUACUGAAUGACAAUUUGGAUUGAUGACAAAUUAAGAAAUGCUUACUUUUAAAUAAUAAAGAAUAAAUAGUUUUUAUAUUUUGAUUGUUAUACUAGUAAAUAUAAUUUAAACCCCAAACCGAUUUUUAUGGAAGAAGUUUUUUUUAAGAUAGAAGUGAUUUGUUUUGAAUUAAUGUAAAGUUUUAAAUUUAUACUCAUGCUCAAAUCAAAAGAUACAAUUUCUUUCAUUGUAUUCUCAUCUCCUAAUUUCCCCCUAACAUUUUAAUAUUGUGAUAUUGUUAUAAUGACAAGUGACCUUUUUAUAUUGUUAAUAUGUAAAGUUGAAUUCAUGUAUCAUAUACAGUCAAAUAAUGCAUUUUGAUGUCAGCUAGUGAUUUGACCAAAAAAAACAACAUAUAAAAGAUUUUGAUGUUAAUUUGAAUAUUAUUGACAACAUUUAAAUGGCGACUUUUUGUGACAUAUAAUACUGCAUUACUGAUAGUAAGUCUAUACUUGGUGAUAAAUUCAUCCUAAUUAUCACUCUCCGAGUAACUAGAACCAUGUGGGCAUGUCAUGUUGCUGUCACGUAAAAAUGAUUAUGUCAGCAGUCAUGUACAUCAUCGAUCAAUCAUAAAUUCAGUGUAAUUCACCGAUAAAUUCAGUGUAAUUUAGCAACUGUAAAUUAACUAGUGCAAGUCACCAAUGAAAUCAGUGUAAAUCGCCAAUUGAAUUGGUGUAAAUCGCCAAUUGAAUUGGUGUAAAUCGCCAAUUGAAUCAGUGUAAAUCGACAAUUGAAUCAGUGUAAAUCGAUAAUUGAAUUGGUGUAAAUCGCCAAUGGAAUCAGUGUAAAUCGCCAAUGGAAUCAGUGUAAAUACAUUUGAAUUCAGUGUAAAUCAACUAUGAAGUAUGUGUAGUUUAUGACUACAGCACUUGUUCAGAGUAUUGUCCCUCAUUCAUAUCACAAAAUAAUAUCCGACAUUUGUAAUAUUUUUGAUGUUUACAUGGUAGUGCCACGCAGUCCUAGAGAUGAAGAUUGACCCAUACCUCUGUAGACAGGUGACACAUUUGUAGAUACUUAUACUGGUAUAAUGUAUACAGAGGUAGAUCUUCAUUACACUAUUUAUACUAUUUGUUCCAAUCUUUGUAGUGAAGAAGCUUUUUAUAUGUUCUUGUGAUCCUUGUUUAUACUGUACAGAUGUAUAUAGGAAUAACAUAUCCACAUUGUCCAUCUCUAAUAAAUCUGAUACUGCCAUGA